rnacentral:rRNA from 1 species
UACGUAGGGGGCAAGCGUUGUCCAGAAUCAUUGGGCGUAAAGAGCGUGUAGGCGGUCCGGUAAGUCGGCUGUGAAAGUCCAGGGCUCAACCCAGGAACUGCACUCGAAACUCCCGGUCUAGAGUGGUGGAGAGGGAAGUGGAAUUCCUGGUGUAGAGGUGAAAUUCGUAGAUAUCAGGAGGAACACCAGAGGCGAAGGCGGGUUACUGGGCUGAUACUGACGCUGAUGCGCGAAAGCCAGGGGAGCAAACGGG